UAGGAAAACGAUCGGCCUUGUGAUCUCACUCGCAACGUGCGAGAGAGAAAUUGCCCGAGCGCUAAGGCACCCUACACACUACUCAAACCGUUUGACCAACAUUGCCACCGCCCCCUGGUUGGUCGAACCAGCGAAUGUUUCUGCAACCGUAUGACGAACUGCCAAAUCGUGUUGCACCAACAUGUCACUUUGGUUGCACCAACAUCAUCCCCCAUUUGAAAUCGCACUGUGUUUGUGCAACAACACUACACACGGUACGAUUGGUUCGUCAAACAUUGGCUCCGCCCACCGUUGGUUUGAGUAAAAUCAAACUGGUUUGAUUUUUGCCGACCAAACCGUCAACCGUCAAAUCGGUUUGACGAACUGCCAAAUCGGUUCGUCAAGCAGCAUCACACACGGUCAAACACAGCACCAACUCAACCAUCAACCUGGGGGCGGAGUCAAUGUUGGUCAAACCGUUUGAGUAGUGUGUAGGGUGCCUAACACACACUCGCACAGCUGGCGAACGAGGACGCGAGCAAACGUUUUCCGUCGUCGUCGCAUCGGCAGUCCCCAUGUUGCGAUCGGUCGGAUCGGUUGGCACUGUGAUCGAGUGUUCUUUUUGCAAACGAUUGAGUGUUUAGUGCCGGUGUAAGAAAGAAGUUUGAUUGACCGCCAUAGUCGAUUGGCAAGCUGGUAGCGAACGAUCGCGUGGUGACGCGUGUAGGGUUCAUACCAGCAUUAAUUUGUAGGGUUUGGAUUAAGUGUGUAAUAAAAUGCCGAUAGGGUUGUUAUGCAUGAGCGUGUAGUGUGUGACAGGAGGCCAGGAGGUGUGUGUUUUGGAAGAGCGAUGGAAUCGGAAGAACUGGAGACGGUGCGUGUAAUCGGUGGUCUCGAAUCCGGGUGAGUUUGGCCGCUGCGGAUGUCCAUCCCGACUGGGACCCUACAACGCGCACCAUUGCCGAGAAAACAUCCGGACGUAGAAGGCAUCAAAAGGUGAGCAAGACCCUCUUGAGUGCUAAGCAAAACCUCUAAACCACAUCCCAAAUCACUGCAGUUUGUCAUCAAUACGUGGCCAGACGGUGCCAAAGAGAGAUUUACGGCAUCUUCCUGUAAACAGCAGCGAGCGCAGAUUCGGAUUAUUCGUACGAUCAGCCGCUUUCGAAGCCGACGGACUCCGCCGAUCACGUGAGGAACUUCUGGCAUCAGGACGGGGACAAAACGAUCAACAAUAAGCACACCGUAAAAACCAUUGUCUUUGGUGACGUUCGUGACAUCAGCGGAGAAUUGGGCGGCCACCGAUAACGGCACCGCAGGAACUGCAUAAGAACCUCGUGGCGACUGAGGUUGGCUUAGUUGCAUUACGGCAAACACAACUAACGAGAAACCCCAAUUGGGUAAGUUUAGCGGAGAAUGGAGUGUGAGCAUCCACUAACCCGUGGAACGACAGGGUUUUUUCGUUGCAGUCUCAAAUCACUUGGCACACCGAAGGAAACUGAGCCACAACCAACGCCCAGGGGUUCUCAACACGCUCGCGGUGGAUCAGCCCAAGCAACACUGGAGUUUUGCGUUUGGGGCAAUCGAAAAAGACCGAUCUGCGGCCACGCAGUCGCGGAACCCCCGGCGGGGAUUGAUUCUCGGUGGACGACCCAGGUGGCACAGGAGCCGCGUGCGCCAGAGGGCGCAUAGCGCCGACACCCAGCAAGAAUGCGUCGUUUUGCGGAGUUGGAUGCGGCAAGAGCAUGAUGGCCGGUGUCGUGAGUACCGUAUAUUAGUUUAAGUCACUAUGUGUACAAUAAUAGAGUAGGACGGAAAUCAGGCCUCGAGGUCAGAAUCAGGAGUCAGGUGGUCAUUAUGACGUUCAAUAUACGUAUUUAGAAUGAACAA